GGCUGCAGGAAUGCGCCGGGAGCCGCGCGGCCCGGGAGGGCGGGAGAUGCCUCCGCCAGCCCCAUCGCCCCGCGGCGGUCGAAGGUCCCAGCGUCCCAGGCUCGGCCAUCCCCAGUGCCCGGUGCCCCCCGCGCCUAGUCUGCGGCUGUGCCCGCGUCUCUCGUUUUCCGCCGGUUAUCCCCACGGACGCGCGCUCUGCGGAGAGGCCCACGAGCUGCGGCGGCGGGGGAGGGGCGCUGGGGCGGUGUCAGAGAGGAUUUGUUUUCACUUACUGCGACUGUAGCACUUAUUUAAAAGGAAACAUACAAUAAAACUUGUCCUUGUUGAUAAAAUAGACUUUGAAAGUGUUGAUGAAUCCACCGCUACCUUACUGUGCGCUCCGCGUCGUGCUGGGUGUUGGGUAUCACAAUGAAAGGACCAGGGCUCAGAAGUUCCCAAAAUUGAACUGGGAAGAAAAACGUGUAAGGAGCUCAUGAUUCCUUAGACUUAGAGCCGACUGCUCUUCCAGUAUUCCACAGCGCGGGACUGUACGGUGCCUUUAAGGUUCUAGAAGGCAAAUGGCUCCGAAAAUCUCCAAUGUUUUGGUGUUUCUGUGUUUUGCUUUUCCUCUGUCCUGCUCUGCUCUCCAUUACAGUAUCCUGACGGUGGCCAAUUACUGGGUUAUGGUCAUUUCAGUAUCCCCAGCAUUUGACGCUCUCCUGGACUCCUGGCUGUUACUUCUACCUGGGAUGCUAUCCCUGCCCAUCACACACUGUUGAAGACUCAGUUCAGGAAUUGUUAGGAGUUCUAGAAGAGGGAUGGAAUGCAAACAACAGCUCCCUUCCUCUCCAGGAAGCAGAGACCUGAAGCCCACGAUUGUGGUUUUUGAAGACUGAACUCUCUCUGCCCUUGAGUAAGGAGGUCCAAGAUUUCUCCUUGAUAAAAAUGUGAACUGCAAUGCUAGUUAAAAGAAGCAAUUGGGGCUUUUGGUAUAGAGAAAUAUUUGGAAGCUGAAGAGACUGAGGUGGACUGGAAAAGCUUCGGAGAUGCCAAACAUCACAACUCAGAGACAGGAAAGUGGUCUGAAAAUAUAGCAGCUGCCUGGAGGUGCCAGGUGAGUGGGCUUGGAGAAGAGCCACGAUGAGGGCCACUGUUGGAGCCAUACUGAACAAACUCUUCACAGUCCUCACCAGAGGACUUUGCAGUUAAGUGGCAAUUCUGCCUCAUGUAGACAAAUAAUCAUGGGAGGUGAUUCGCAGCCUGUGAUCAAGUUCUUUUUUAUCCAAGCAAAAAUAAAUGAUUCCUGAAAAUUAUCAAAAUAAUCAAACACAAGCGGAGUCUGAGAAACUGUCACAGCCAAGAGGAAUCUUAAGGUGACAUGAUGGCUAAAGGCAAUGUGGUACUCUAAAUGGGAUCCUGGAAAAGAAAAAGAACAUUGGGGGAAAACUACAGACAUCUGAAUAAAGUAGAGACUUUAGUUAAUAAUAAUGUAUCAGUAUUGGUUUGUUAAUUAUAAUUAUAUAGACCAUACUAAGAUAAGAUGUUAAUAAUAUAAGAAACUGGGUGUGAAGUAUAUCCAAUGUAUCUAUCUUUCCAAUGUCUUUGUAAAUCUAAAAUAGUUCUAAAAUUAAAGUUUAUUUAAAAAGAAAGAGAAGGAGAAAAACACAGACUAACCUGGGAGGAUGUGUCCUCCAAAACCCUCAGGACCCUGGAAGCACCCAGGAGACCUGAACUCAUGAAUUCCUUGAGUAUAGGAAUUGAUUCAUGCUGACAUUCUCCGUGGCCAGUGCACAGUAUCUGGUUUUAACAAGUGGUCAAUGCAUAGUUACUGAAUUAAAAUCUAUUUCCAGUAAGGAAGAAGUAAGAGGCAAUAAACAGAAUGGUUUUCUUCU